rnacentral:rRNA from 1 species
GACGAACGCUGGCGGCGUGCCUAAUACAUGCAAGUAGAACGCAGUUGCGAACGGGUGAGUAACGCGUAGGUAACUGACUGGUAGAGGGGGAUAACUAUUGGAAACGAUAGCUAAUACCGCAUACUACCUGCUGGACCUGCGUUGUAUUAGCUAGUUGGUGAGGUAACGGCUCACCAAGGCAACGAUACAUAGCCGACCUUGGAGGGUGGUCGGCCAAACUGGGACUGAGCAACGGCCCCGGCUCCUACGGGAGGCAGCAGUAGGGGAUCCUCGGGAAUGGGGGGAACGCUGACCGAGCAACGCCGCGGGAGUGGAGAAGGUUCUUGGAACGUAAAGCUCUGGUGUUUAGGGAGCGGUACUUAACCAGAAAGGGACGGCUAACUACGUGCCAGCCGCCGCGGUAAUUC